UCUCCGUAGGUGAACCUGCGGAGGGAUCAUUACUGAGUGAGGGUUUAACCGCCCGACCUCCAACCCUUUGUGAAUCGUACUCGUUGCUUCGGGGGCGACCCUGCCGUUCGCGGCGCGGCGCCCCCGGGGGAAAUCAAACACUGCGUCAAUUUGUGUCGGAGUACUUGUUAAUAAACAAAACUUUCAACAACGGAUCUCUUGGUUCUGGCAUCGAUGAAGAACGCAGC
rnacentral:misc_RNA from 1 species